rnacentral:rRNA from 1 species
UACGGAGGGUGCAAGCGUUAAUCGGAAUUACUGGGCGUAAAGCGCGCGUAGGCGGUUUGAUAAGUCGAUUGUGAAAUCCCCGGGCUCAACCUGGGAAUUGCAGUCGAGACUGUCAGACUAGAGUGUGGGAGAGGGUGGUGGAAUUCCCGGUGUAGCGGUGAAAUGCGUAGAUAUUCGGAAGAACACCAGUGGCGAAGGCGACUUACUGGACACAUAUUGACGCUGAGGUGCGAAAGCGUGGGGAGCAAACAGG